rnacentral:sRNA from 1 species
GACCUGGACCAGUUAAAGAGGAGAGAGAGAGGGAAGAAGAUCCCUUUCAGCAGCUUUGAUGGUAGUUUUAAAAACAAAAAUUGAAAAGGGGAGAAAAAAAAGGAGGUAAUAGUACAUGCGCGAGUUGGCAAUGCUUGAGCUGGCAUUAUUGUCAACCUCCCACUGACAACAACAACAUUGUUGGUUUGCUCUUUUUUCCUCCAUCCAUCCAUCCAUUCAUUCAUCCCUGAACAAAUGGUAGAUGUCUACCUAAAAACUCGAUGAAACACACGACCGACACUCAACAUCCCAACAUCUCGCUGUCUCCUAUAGAUAUAUAUAUAUAUAUAUAGUCUAUUAAGAUCGCCGAUCAGGCCCCUUCCCUCUUACAUGCACACUAUUCUAUAUAAAACGCUCCCUGGAUCUUCUUCACAAAAUUCAGUGUAAGCUUUUGGGCGAGUGCUUGGCAUCAACCAUGUGCGUGCGAUCGAUCGAUCAUCCGAAUGUUUGAUUCAUGCUUAUCUCAGCGAGCUCAGACCUUCUAUUGGCUCGGUUGCAGCAGCAUGACACUAAACUACUUUAGUUAUGAGUCAUGUGCUCAGAGCAAUCCUCGCCAGAUUCUUCAAAUUUCUCAACUUUGACUUUCAAUUACACAAUAGUCAGUCAUAUAUCUUUGAGAUUUGUGACCCGCAUCCCCUAUCAUAAGACAUUAUUCUUGUUUCUUUCUUUUUCUUUGUGGGUUUACCAAUACCAUUAACAAAUAAAUGCCGUUCCAACAAGCCAGGUUGAAAGACUGGAAGUUGGAGCCUGUAGGAGGUACAGAACUAAAAUUAAUAUUGACAAUAUUGGGUCGUCCGUGCAAGCGUCCACGGGUUUAAUCCCAAGAUGAGGCGGUCCAAAAAAGGAUACAGCUACCAUACAGCUACCAAAUUCCUCACUCCAAGAAUCAGCAUAACAUCUAGAUAAGAUGAAUAGUCUUCCAAAGCGAAGUUUUCCCCAGAGAUGGCUUUAGGAUUAAGCUUCCUCCAUUCUGCAGGUUCCUCAUCUUAAAAAAAAUAAAACAAGCCAAGCAAGGAAAGUUGGUUUCUUUUUUUUUUAAUUCGUUUUUUUUAAUACUUUCUUUUUCUAUCUUGUUUUCUUUUUUCCUGAUUUCUGAAACGGCUAACUCCAUCCUCAAACACCAACUGUUUUCCAUUUCUCUCGAUCCAUCGAUCCAUGGAUUUAUCAACUGACGAUCGUCACGCCCCCCCCCAAACUCCAGUGCCCGCCCACAUAGCGCUUCUGGUUGCCACAGUCGAUAUCGUCUGUGCGGUGGGGAUGAAACUGGACUGGAAGUGAAAUCAAGUCCCAGCCAGAGCAAGAGAUAUGGUGAUGAAACUUCUAUCACAGCUACUACCCAACUCACCCCUCCCCUGGCGACUGAUCAUUUCUUUUUCCUCUCCAGAUGAUCGUUAGUUAACCGUAACGAACUAAAUAUGCAAGAAGUAAAAAUAGAACAACAUUUGACAAUGUCCAACAAAAUCACCAUCACCACCAUCAUAUUGCAUAAUAAUAACUAACUAGUUACAGCAUAGUCAAAAGGAAUGUAUAUUGGGCACAAGCCUAUCUCUCCAGGGCAAAAGGGCUAAAAAAUAAGAAUCUCUUACUCUUAUUAGUAACUAACUAACUAUCCACGGAUAUUUCCAUCGUCACUUCGUCACUUCCUUCCAUGCAUGCAGAAAAAUAAUAAUAACCCCAUUUAUUUCUUUCCUAUCAUUCUUUAUUACCAUUUACCCGUUCAGGAUGGAUGCAAAAAGGGGCCAACCACCAGGUGAACUAGGCUCAUUCCCCGAACAGCCCGAGGAUAUACCCAGUUCCACACCGAGAAAAAGGUGGACGGAUCCGGAUAUUUUAUCUAUAAUAUACGUAUACCACUCCCACCAUGGCCCAUAAUAGCUUCGACGUACGCUGUAACCAGGCAUUUCAAAAUAUUUUUGCUGACGCAAGUUAUUAUUGCAGGAUUGGCUUGGCUGGUUCCGGGCCCUUUCUCUUCUAUCCGACAGGACCAAAGCGUCUUCUUUUUGCAGCAGGGGGGUUUUUUCAUUAAACCGCUGGGGUACUGUACAUUCGGGUCUGGGGAAUAUACGCUGUAAAUGUUGACUGACCUUCUUCACCUGGUUAUUUACCUAUCGCAAACCAGGGGUUGAAACAAUUAUGGUUGAAUAGUUAUAUUUGCAUAUUUCCGGUUGGGACAUGGGAGCUUCUAGUGAGUGUACCGUUGCUUCUCUCCCAUUUUCAAGAGAAAAUACAAAAAGUCUCUCUGGCAGCCGUAUACAAGCCAUAGUUAUACAUAGUUAUAGUUAUACAUAUACAUAGUUAGUAUCCAUGCC